rnacentral:rRNA from 1 species
AACCGGAUUAGAUACCCUGGUAGUCCACGCUGUAAACGAUGUCGAUUUGGAGGUUGUGCCCUUGAGGCGUGGCUUCCGGAGCUAACGCGUUAAAUCGACCGCCUGGGGAGUACGGCCGCAAGGUUAAAACUCAAAUGAAUUGACGGGGGCCCGCACAAGCGGUGGAGCAUGUGGUUUAAUUCGAUGCAACGCGGAGAACCUUACCUACUCUUGACAUCCAGAGAACUUUCCAGAGAUGGAUUGGUGCCUUCGGGAACUCUGAGACAGGUGCUGCAUGGCUGUCGUCAGCUCGUGUUGUGAAAUGUUGGGUUAUGUCCCGCAACGAGCGCAACCCUUAUCCUUUGUUGCCAGCGGUUCGGCCGGGAACUCAAAGGAGACUGCCAGUGAUAAACUGGAGGAAGGUGGGGAUGACGUCAAGUCAUCAUGGCCCUUACGAGUAGGGCUACACACGUGCUACAAUGGCGUAUACAAAGAGAAGCGACCUCGCGAGAGCAAGCGGACCUCAUAAAGUACGUCGUAGUCCGGAUUGGAGUCUGCAACUCGACUCCAUGAAGUCAGAAUCGCUAGUAAUCGUAGAUCAGAAUGCUACGGUGAAUACGUUCCCGGGCCUUGUACACACCGCCCGUCACACCAUGGGAGUGGGUUGCAAAAGAAGUAGUAGCUUAACCUUCAGGAGGGCGCUUACCACUUUGUGAUUCAUGACUGGGGUGAAGUCGU